AGAAUCAAAAGUCCAUUCCCGAUAAUGAAGAUUUUGCCCCCACAACAAAAAUGAUAAUCCCAAUUUUGUCCUCUCUCUAUAUCUGCAACAAUCGAUCUCCCUCUCUCUCUCCAUCUGCAGCAACCGGUCUCUCUCUCUAUAACCAAAGGAAAAUGAUCGGUUUGAGUAGCUUGUCACCGGUCAUCUCCGUUGCUCGUCAUGCUACAACCCAUCAUCGUCGUGCUUGUCCUUGUCGUUAUCUCUCUCAUGCUCGUCAUAGCUGCCUCGCCUCGUCAGCUGCCUCUAUCACAAAGCUCCGAUUCCGAUUUACAACUCCGGUUCCUAUUUAUUAUUUAC
rnacentral:lncRNA from 1 species